ACAGUUUGCAGUUGAUAUCAGGUGUUAAAGUAAUAAGCAAGUGGAGGUUUUGCCCAAACUUGUCUUGUGGUUAAUCCCAAAUCCCGAACAUAACUCAAAACGUAGAUCCACCUCUGGUCUGCUUUGUAACACAAGACACCAAGACAACUCCAUGUAAGACUCGGGAGGAGAAAAUUUUCCGCAAUAUACCAACUGCAACCCAAAAACAGUGAAAACGUCCUUAGCAUGAGUGAUCCUCCAAAAUGGACCAAAUAAGGAACUAAUAUUUGGGAGUAGAAUCAUCUAGGAGAAUACUUCCUAACCUGCCAUGAACCCUAGGCAUUGAAGAGGAAGAUGGAAGACACUGAGAUCAAAUCAAGGAAAAAUUUCAAGAGGAG
rnacentral:lncRNA from 1 species